AACGCUGGCGGCGUGCCUAAUACAUGCAAGUCGAACGGUCUUUUCUAUGGAAGCUUGCUUCCACUGAGAAGAUAGUGGCGAACGGGUGAGUAACACGUGGGUAACCUGCCCAUAAGAGGGGGAUAACAUCCGGAAACGGGUGCUAAUACCGCAUAGUUUUCUUGAUCGCAUGAUCGGGAAAGGAAAGACGGCCUUUGUGCUGUCGCUUAUGGAUGGACCCGCGGCGUAUUAGUUAGUUGGUGAGGUAACGGCUCACCAAGACGAUGAUACGUAGCCGACCUGAGAGGGUGAUCGGCCACAUUGGGACUGAGACACGGCCCAAACUCCUACGGGAGGCAGCAGUAGGGAAUCUUCCGCAAUGGACGAAAGUCUGACGGAGCAACGCCGCGUGAGUGAAGAAAGGUUUUCGGAUCGUAAAACUCUGUUGUCAGAGAAGAACAAGUUGGAGAGUAACUGCUCCAGCCUUGACGGUAUCUGACCAGAAAGCCACGGCUAACUACGUGCCAGCAGCGGC
rnacentral:rRNA from 1 species